AGGGUGCAAGCGUUAAUCGGAAUUACUGGGCGUAAAGCGCACGCAGGCGGUCUGUCAAGUCGGAUGUGAAAUCCCCGGGCUCAACCUGGGAACUGCAUUCGAAACUGGCAGGCUAGAGUCUUGUAGAGGGGGGUAGAAUUCCAGGUGUAGCGGUGAAAUGCGUAGAGAUCUGGAGGAAUACCGGUGGCGAAGGCGGCCCCCUGGACAAAGACUGACGCUCAGGUGCGAAAGCGUGGGGAGCAAACAGGAUUAGAUACCCUGGUAGUCCACGCCGUAAACGAUGUCGACUUGGAGGUUGUGCCCUUGAGGCGUGGCUUCCGGAGCUAACGCGUUAAGUCGACCGCCUGGGGAGUACGGCCGCAAGGUUAAAACUCAAAUGAAUUGACGGGGGCCCGCACAAGCGGUGGAGCAUGUGGUUUAAUUCGAUGCAACGCGAAGAACCUUACCUACUCUUGACAUCCACAGAACUUUCCAGAGAUGGAUUGGUGCCUUCGGGAACUGUGAGACAGGUGCUGCAUGGCUGUCGUCAGCUCGUGUUGUGAAAUGUUGGGUUAAGUCCCGCAACGAGCGCAACCCUUAUCCUUUGUUGCCAGCGGUCCGGCCGGGAACUCAAAGGAGACUGCCAGUGAUAAACUGGAGGAAGGUGGGGAUGACGUCAAGUCAUCAUGGCCCUUACGAGUAGGGCUACACACGUGCUACAAUGGCGCAUACAAAGAGAAGCGACCUCGCGAGAGCAAGCGGACCUCAUAAAGUGCGUCGUAGUCCGGAUUGGAGUCUGCAACUCGACUCCAUGAAGUCGGAAUCGCUAGUAAUCGUAGAUCAGAAUGCUACGGUGAAUACGUUCCCGGGCCUUGUACACACCGCCCGUCACACCAUGGGAGUGGGUUGCAAAAGAAGUAGGUAGCUUAACCUUCGGGAGGGCGCUU
rnacentral:rRNA from 2 species